GACGAACGCUGGCGGCGUGCUUAACACAUGCAAGUCGAACGGUAAGGCCCCAGCUUGCUGGGGUACACGAGUGGCGAACGGGUGAGUAACACGUGGGUGACCUGCCCCGCACUUCGGGAUAAGCCUGGGAAACUGGGUCUAAUACCGGAUAGGACCGCACCGUGAGGGUGUGGUGGAAAGUUUUUCGGUGUGGGAUGGGCCCGCGGCCUAUCAGCGUGUUGGUGGGGUAAUGGCCUACCAAGGCGGCGACGGGUAGCCGGCCUGAGAGGGUGGACGGCCACAUUGGGACUGAGACACGGCCCAGACUCCUACGGGAGGCAGCAGUGGGGAAUAUUGCACAAUGGGCGGAAGCCUGAUGCAGCGACGCCGCGUGGGGGAUGACGGCCUUCGGGUUGUAAACUCCUUUCACCAUCGACGAAGGUUUUCUGACGGUAGAUGGAGAAGAAGCACCGGCUAACUACGUG
rnacentral:rRNA from 1 species